CCUACUGGAGGCUGCAGUAGGGAAUCUUCCGCAAUGGACGAAAGUCUGACGGAGCAACGCCGCGUGAGCGAAGAGGUUUUUGGGACGGAAAGCUCUGUUGUUUGGGAAGAACAAGGACGGGGGGAAAUGACCGUACCUUUACGGUACCUGACGGGGAAACCACGGCUAACUUCGUGCCAGCAGCCGGGGUAAUACGGAGGUGGCAAGCGUUGUCCGGAAUUAUUGGGCGUAAAGGGCGCGCAGGCGGUCUUUUAAGUCUGAUGUGAAAUCUUGCGGCUCAACCGCAAGCGGUCAUUGGAAACUGGGAGACUUGAGUGCAGAAGAGGAAAGCGGAAUUCCACGUGUAGCGGUGAAAUGCGUAGAGAUGUGGAGGAACACCAGUGGCGAAGGCGGCUUUCUGGUCUGUAACUGACGCUGAGGCGCGAAAGCGUGGGGAGCAAACAGGAUUAGAUACCCCAGUAGUC
rnacentral:rRNA from 1 species